GUCUUGAGGAGAUAAGUAUAAAGAGCUGAGUGAAGUGGAUUCUAGCUCAGAAAGUACAGUAGUAUACUUGACCACAGAGCAAUGAAAAAUACUCGACCAUGUUUUAGCUUAUCCAUGCCAGGAGAUCACUCGACCGCGGUGCUGGCCGCAACAGAAGAAGGGAGGUCGAGUAUCCUUAUAGCAGUACUCGCCGCCACAGAGCUUAUGAGGUCGAGUACCUACCUGCUGGAGCUGAUACAGAACAGGGCGGUUCGUCUAUGGCCUGGGAGCAACCACAGGAAGCCAUUGACGACCAACUUCAUUCAUUCUUCGACUGAGGUAAGUGUCUCACUUCACCAUUGUAUUAUAUCAUCUAUUGU
rnacentral:sRNA from 1 species